AUUGAACGCUGGCGGCAGGCCUAACACAUGCAAGUCGAGCGGUAACACAGAGGAGCUUGCUCCCUGGGUGACGAGCGGCGGACGGGUGAGUAAUGCCUGGGGAUCAGCCCGCUAGAGAGGGCUAACUACGGGAAACUGUAGCUAAUACCGCCUAAUGUCUACGGACCAAAGUGGUGGCUCUUCGGCCCUCAUGCUAUCGGAUGAACCCAGGUGGGAUUAGCUAGUUGGUGAGGUAAUGGCUCACCAAGGCGACGAUCUCUAACUGGUUUGAGAGAAUGACCAGUCACACUGGAACUGAGACACGGUCCAGACUCCGACGGGAGGCAGCAGUGGGGAAUAUUGCACAAUGGGCGCAAGCCUGUUGCAGCCAUGCCGCGUGUGUGAAGAAGGCCUUCGGGUUGUAAAGCACUUUCAGCGGGGAGGAAGGGCUACUAGUUAAUACCUAGUGGCAUUGACGUUACUCGCAGAAGAAGCACCGGCUAACUCCGUGCCAGCAGCCGCGGUAAUAC
rnacentral:rRNA from 1 species